AUUGAACGCUGGCGGCAUGCCUUACACAUGCAAGUCGAACGGCAGCACGGGAGCAAUCCUGGUGGCGAGUGGCGAACGGGUGAGUAAUAUAUCGGAACGUGCCCAGUCGUGGGGGAUAACGUAGCGAAAGCUACGCUAUUACCGCAUACGAUCUAUGGAUGAAAGCGGGGGAUCGCAAGACCUCGCGCGAUUGGAGCGGCCGAUAUCAGAUUAGGUAGUUGGUGAGGUAAAGGCUCACCAAGCCGACGAUCUGUAGCCGGUCUGAGGGGACGACCAGCCACACUGGAACUGAGACACGGCCCAGACUCCUACGGGAGGCAGCAGUGGGGAAUUUUGGACAAUGGGCGCAAGCCUGAUCCAGCAAUGCCGCGUGCAGGAUGAAGGCCUUCGGGUUGUAAACUGCUUUUGUACGGAGCGAAAAGGCUUCCACUAAUACUGGGGGCUCAUGACGGUACCGCAAGAAUAAGCACCGGCUAACUACGUGCCAGCCGCCGCCGUAACAC
rnacentral:rRNA from 1 species